rnacentral:rRNA from 1 species
CCUACGGGAGGCAGCAGUGAGGAAUAUUGGUCAAUGGGCGCAGGCCUGAACCAGCCAAGUCGCGUGAGGGAAGACUGCCCUAUGGGUUGUAAACCUCUUUUAUAAGGGAAGAAUAAUGACUACGUGUAGUCAGAUGCCCGUACCUUAUGAAUAAGCAUCGGCUAACUCCGUUCCAGCAGCCGCGUCAAUACGGAGGAUGCGAGCGUUACCUGGAUUUAUUGGGUUAAAAGGGUGCGUAGGCGGUAGUUUAAGUUAGUGGUAAAACGUCGGGGCUUCACCUUGAUUGGCCAUUAAAACUGGAGUACUAGAGUACAGACGAGGUGGGCAGAAUAAGAUGAGUAGCGGUGAAAUGCUUAGAGAUAA